UGGGAUGUCUAUCCUCCAGCUUCAACC
rnacentral:piRNA from 1 species